ensembl:lncRNA
CAGCAUGCUGCAAUAGGUUGCACUUGUCCAGUAACACAACUUACAGUAGACUGCCAGGGUGCCAGGGAAAGAUAACUCAACAUACAGAUGAAAAUUAAAAUGGACAACAUACUUUUUCCAUUUCCCUGUCUCAUUGUACUUUUGGGUCUGGUGUUGACUUCUAUGACUACAGCCCAAAACAACAUAACUACCACAAUCAGUCCCACUAAACUCAUCAAUCACACCGGAAACCAGGUAAACUCAACCAUCAACCCAGUUGAUACAGCACAAAGCAAUGAUACCACCACAACUCUGCCAACAAAUUCAGGCAGUCCUAACACCACCACAGAAAAGGAUGAUGACAAAAGCACCAACAUCUCAACAACCACAUCCCAGCAGUUGACACAGAAUGGCAAUACUUCACAUCCCUCAGGAGGAAUCAGGUCCACAACUCCUGCUGGAAGCACCAAGGACAAAGAAUUGGGUCAUACCAAAACAACAACAACGACAACUGUGCCAACAUUAGUUCCUACCACAAGUGCCCAUCGAAAUUCCACAAAAUCCAAGAUCUGGCUAAUCAUCUUGAUUAUCAUCAUUGCUGUGGUUCUUGUAAUAGUAUUUGUCCAAAUACGCAAGAAGUUGAAGAGGAAAUCGAUGGAUCUGCCAAGCAGACAGGAGGAUGUCCCUCUGAGUACUCACGAUCAUGACGUCGCGUUUGACAGCUCUCCGGCACCGAAGGAAAUGCAGACCUUUACGGCUGUGGACCUCGACAGCACUGAAGCCCUGGUUGAGGAUUCACCUGGAACAAAGGAGGAUGGUGGGAACAGCUCCGACCUCCCCCCGCCGCCAGGCUCUGUGGACAAACCCCAUGACGUGGCCCCGACUAAACUGGCCCCUGAACACGGGGCCCUGGGGGUCCCAGAAGGGGAGACUGAUGACGAACUCGCCGUCUCCAAUAAGACCUCGGUGGAGUCAGUGGCGGUCAACGAUGACAACAACAACAACAACAACAACAUCAGGAUGCCAGUGACAACGAGAGGUUGGUAUAGGUUCAAAUCUUUCCCUCCAACUUCUGUAAUGUGUCUGUGUGUGUGUGUGUGUGUGUGUGUAUGAACAUUGUGAUAAAGCAGACACAUUUCUCUUGGAUAUCUGUUUAGAUUGGACAGCAAAUAGUCUUGUAAUGUCAUAAUAUUUAGCUGUCAGUGCUGUUACCUAGUAUUUAUUUUCACAUUUUCUUGCAGUUUCAAAAAUGAAACGAGCCUCACUGGCGUAUCCACUUACUCUGAAAAGACGGAAUAGAAAUGUUGAACUCGACAUUGAACAUACAGCACAAAACCUCCCUGUGGAGAAUGUCAGUAACACGCCAGCUCUCAGACCAUGUACAUAUCAUAGGUCACAGGAGUUUCCUUUAAUUAGGUGCUGUGUACUGAACCAACAAACCAACAGUACAGCUAGUCCAAGUCGUUGUCAGUCGCAACAGAAAUCUCCUCACGCUCCCGGGGUGGGAACCUCGAUUCAGUAUUAAAUGUGAUGUGAAAAAGUGCAUGAAUCACAUGACUAUAUAAGGACGUGUCAUUGCGAAGGACGGGCCGUGAAGGAUAUGUAGCCGUUGCUAGAGUCAAAACCCUUAUUACCUCAUCUAUUCUGUAAUUGUUUCCUCAUUCUUCUUUCUCUCCCCAUACUCUAUCUUAAUAAAAAAAAAAAAAAAAAAGACUUGAAUCAUCUCUCAGGAUGGGCUGUGACCAGCCAUUUCUCAGAGGCUUAAACCUCUCCACGUCCACAGCCUCAACAGAACCACGGUGAGCUCUUAGCAUAGUCCUGUCCCCCACCACUGGAGCCCCCAUCCGCCCCCCCCCCCCAUCAGACCUCCUGCAGCUGCUGGACCAUUUACCCAGCUCAGGUGUUAGUAAAGGGAUCAGCCUCCUUACCCAGCUCAGCAGGCCGCAAACAACUUCUGGAUGUGCCAGAAGUGUCACUUAACCGGUCUCGCUAAAGUAACAUUGCAGUAUAAAUAGGCCGUCAUAAUCACCAAUUUACCGUUGUGUGCCGGUUGUUAACGUGGCCAUCUGUCCGUAUUAGAUGAUCGGUUGCUAUCGCCGUAAAUCUUCUUGACAAGACUAAACCACAUUGAUUUAUAAAUAUGGGGUAGUGGUGGUAAUAUAGGGAUGUUUUUGGUUGUUGAUGCCUCUGGAAUCCGGUUUCCAUUCCCGGUCAUAAGAUACUGAAAAUGAUUUCUAUGUAUAAUUUCUCUGUACCCCGGCAUAUUUUUCGACUACUUUGUCGGUCUAAUGUUUAAUUCCUUGUAUAAAGUUAUGUGAUAGGGACAUGUGUGUACAUAUUUGUAAUCUGUUAUCCCAGCAAAAUGUCAAUUUAGCUAUGGCCUCUGAGGCUUUUAGCCACUAAAGAAGUUAAUAUGCUCUCAGUCUCAAAUUACUCAUCAGAAAUCUCUGACAAUCUACAAAACAAGUCACAAAACAAGAACAAUCUACAAAACAACAAUAGAUAUAAUAGUCGCUCAGCCAACUGUCACAAAAACAGCAGUUUUGGAUUUCCAUGGACACUCUCUCUCUCUCUCUCUCUCUCCUUUUUCCCAAUGACACCUUUCAUCUCAUUUCAGUCGGCCACUCAAGCCAGAUUCCUCAGGCAGACUAGCACCUCUCAGUCUGUCAGUCGGUCAGUCAGUCAGACUGAUCUGAAGCAGGAAGGAGGAACGGCGACCUCUUGCACCUGUGUUCCCUGGCUCUCAGAAGCCUGCCGCCAGUGUAGCAUUGCAGUCCUUAGUGCCCCAAAAAUUCACACCCCUCUUAACAGCCGAUGAUAGGCCCUGAUCUGAGGCCCUUCUGCCGACGUGCGUCAUGUAUGGACGAUGUCCCGUUUUCACAAAAAUGCAGACCCCCCCCCC